rnacentral:lncRNA from 1 species
UUUCGAUAAUAUUUUAUGACUUUCUGCAUUGUUUUAUAAUUUUCGAUAUAUCGUGCACUAUUUUAUGACUUCUGACACUGCUUCAUGGCUUUCUGUAUUAUUUUAUGAUCAUCAGGUUAUCUUAUGAAAUGAUCCUUGAAAUAAUGAAAACUUUUGAAUAUAUUAUAUAAUAUGUCAGCUUUUGAAAUAGCUAAAUACCAAGUGACAGC